rnacentral:rRNA from 1 species
CGUGUAGGCGGACUCGCAAGUCGGUUGUGAAAUCCCUGGGCUUAACCUAGGAACUGCAUCCGAAACUGCUUGUCUUGAGUAAUGGAGAGGGUGGCGGAAUUCCCGGUGUAGAGGUGAAAUUCGUAGAUAUCGGGAGGAACAUCAGUGGCGAAGGCGGCCACCUGGACAUUUACUGACACUGAGACGCGAAAGCGUGGGGAGCAAACAGGAUUAGAUACCCUGGUAGUCC